rnacentral:rRNA from 1 species
CGGCGACGCCGAGCGGAACCCGAAAACCUAGUCUCAGUUCGGAUCGGAGUCUGCAACCCGACUCCGUGAAGCUGGAUUCGCUAGUAAUCGCGCAUCAGCCAUGGCGCGGUGAAUACGUUCCCGGGCCUUGUACACACCGCCCGUCAAGCCAUGGAAGCCGGGGGUGCCUGAAGUGUGCAGCCGCAAGGAGCGCCCUAAGGUAAAACCGGUGACUGGGGCUAAGUCGUAACAAGGUAAC